ACACGACUACAUUAGAUACCCCCGGUAGUCCUAGCCGUAAACGAUACUCGCUAGGUGUCGGCCACGGUGCGACCGUUGUCGGUGCCGUAGGGAAGCCGUGAAGCGAGCCACUGGGAAGUACGGCCGCAAGGCUGAAACUUAAAGGAAUUGGCGGGGAGCACCACAACGGGUGGAGCUUGCGGUUUAAUUGGAUUCAACGCCGGAAAUCUUACCGGGACCGACAGCAACAUGAAGGCCAGGCUGAAGACUUUGCCGGAUUAGCUG
rnacentral:rRNA from 1 species